AUGAGUUGGUUGCGAGAUCUGUUGUUGUUGUUGUUGUUGUUGUUGUUGCUGGUGUUGCUAUUGUGUUGUUGUUCUUGUUCUGGUUCUUGUUGUUGUUGUUGUUGUUGUUGUUGUUGUUGUUGUUGUUGUUGUUGUUGUUGUUGUUGUUGUUGUUGUUGUUGUUGUUGUUGUUGCUGUUGUGUUGUUGUUCUUAUUCUUGUUCUUGUUGUUCUUGUUGUUGAGAAAGGCUAUUUUAUUUUUUUCAUGACCUGUUUCUAUUUUGCAACAAGUCCAAUGAUACUGCAGCUCUGGUCAAGUUAA
rnacentral:rRNA from 1 species